CUGUCAUACCAUAAAAAUCAAAAUUCUAAAAAAACUGCACAAAAUCGAAAAAUAUAAAAAAAAUACAAUGUGUUGGUUAGGCUGGGCAAUCGCCCUGUCGUUGUUGUCCUACAUGUUCAUGAAUCCGAAUAAAAAUUAAACUAAGUAUGGUGUAGACAAUGAAAAUAUCUCGUGCCGUCUGUAUUAAUGUACCAUGACGUCUUAUACAAUAAAAUUACUGUAUGUUUGGCAUAAUAUACGAUUUAGCUAAAAUUA